GGGCCAUAUAGCGUUGAAACGGCGGUUCCCGUGCGAUCACCGAAGUUAAGCAACGUCGCACCUGGUCAGUACCCAGAUGGGUGACCGCUUGGGAAUACCAGGUGCUAUA